rnacentral:rRNA from 1 species
GAGUUUGAUCAUGGCUCAGAGCGAACGUUUGCGGCGGGCUUAACACAUGCAAGUCGAACGAGAAUCCCUUCGGGGAGGAAAGUGGCGCACGGGUGCGUAACACGUGGAUAACCAACCCAUUGGUUUGGGACAACACCGGGAAACUGGUGCUAAUACCAGAUGUGUCGCAGCUGUCUUCAGGCGGUUGCGAGAAAGGCCCGCAAGGGUCGCCAACGGACGGGUCCGCGUCCCAUCAGCUAGUUGGUGAGGUAAUGGCUCACCAAGGCAAAGACGGGUAGCUGGUCUGAGAGGAUGAUCAGCCACACUGGAACUGAGACACGGUCCAGACUCCUACGGGAGGCAGCAGUGGGGAAUAUUGCGCAAUGGGCGAAAGCCUGACGCAGCCACGCCGCGUGAGCGAUGAAGGUCUUCGGAUCGUAAAGCUCUGUGGGGGGAGAAGAAGAAAGCCGGUGAAGAGCCGGCCCUGACGGUAUCCCCUUAGCAAGCACCGGCUAACUCCGUG